UACCACACUGUAAAAAAUACUGUCUUCCAAUUAAAAGUCUUGCAUUGAAAACGUUAAGUAAAAGCAUGUAAGUAUUAUCAGGAAACUGUACUUAAAGUAAAACAAGUAAAACUAGUCAAAG